GUAACUAUUCCUUCAUACAAAGAUCAACAUAAUUCUGGAAAUUUCCAGAGAGAGAGAGAAAGGGAGUUCUUGAGAAAAAUCCCAAAUCCGACCAAAAUUCAAGUCCCAAAAUCCGAAGCUCAUGAAGAGAAAAUUGUUGUACGUCGCGUUGGCUUCAAUUUGAGCUAGAAAUCAACCAAUAAGGAGAAGAUUUUAUGUGGUGCUGCAAAUUUAAGGUUGAGACAAUAUUGGACAACAUAUACGUAUAAAUGCUAAAGGUACAAAUACUCAUUUUGGAGAGCCGCCAACUUAGGAUUCUACUCAACGAGUUUGAAGUGCUCUAUUGUCUCGGAGCCCAAACUUUGGGUACUAAUCCUUAUAAUGUAUAUAUUUGUGUAUUUAGGGGUACGACGGGGCCCUGUCCCGUCAUAUGCUAUUGUUAAUUCUCUUAGAGGUCUGUAGACAUAUGAGUGGGUUGUAUAUAGAUGUUGUCCGGUGUACUAGUAUGACUUAUGUUUUUGGACGUUUACAUUCAGAAUGGAAGCCUUGUCGGCUUACAUAUUAUGUUAUCUUAUUUUUGACAAUUAAGACUCCCCAAGAAAUAGGUGAUUUUAGUAUAUAUAUAAGUAACAGUUUGAGACAACGUGCUACCCAUAUAAAUCCUUUAUCAUGCUUAAUUGCCGAUUGACUAUAGAUAAUAUGUGUGUAUACGAGGGUCCAAUUUGGACACUAGUCACGGGGCUAGGUCGUGACAAAAGUGGUAUCAGAGCAGUUCAUCCUCGGAGUGUCUACAGACCGUGUCUAGUAGAGUCUUGUUUAUCGGUGUGUUGUGCACCACAUCUAUAAACAGGAGGCUACAGGACAUUUAGGA